rnacentral:misc_RNA from 1 species
CUGCGAGUUCGCGGGAGAGUAAGUUAUUGCCAGGGUUUUUAUUUUAUACUUUAAACAUUGAUUUUAUUUUUUAUGUUUUUAGAUGUUCAUGUUUUUGAAUGUUUUAUUUAAAUAAUAUAAAAAAUAAAAUAUAUAUUGACAUGGAUUAAACAAAGAUAUAUAUUAUUCUAUGUUGCAUAAACAAAUUGGCAAAAUAGAGAUGGAAGAUAAA